rnacentral:rRNA from 1 species
GCAUAUCCAAUAAGCGGAGGAAAAGAAACUAACAAGGAUUCCCCUAGUAGCGGCGAGCGAAGCGGGAAGAGCUCAAAUUUAUAAUCUGGCACCUUCGGUGUCCGAGUUGUAAUCUCUAGAAAUGUUUUCCGCGUUGGACCGCACACAAGUCUGUUGGAAUACAGCGGCAUAGUGGUGAGACCCCCGUAUAUGGUGCGGACGCCCAGCGCUUUGUGAUACAUUUUCGAAGAGUCGAGUUGUUUGGGAAUGCAGCUCAAAUUGGGUGGUAAAUUCCAUCUAAAGCUAAAUAUUGGCGAGAGACCGAUAGCGAACAAGUACCGUGAGGGAAAGAUGAAAAGCACUUUGGAAAGAGAGUUAACAGUACGUGAAAUUGUUGGAAGGGAAWCGCUUGAAGUCAGACUUGCUUGCCGAGCAAUCGGUUUGCAGGCCAGCAUCAGUUUUCCGGGAUGGAUAAUGGUAGAGAGAAGGUAGCAGUUUCGGCUGUGUUAUAGCUCUCUGCUGGAUACAUCUUGGGGGACUGAGGAACGCAGUGUGCCUUUGGCGGGGGUUU